UACGGAGGAUCCAAGCGUUAUCCGGAUUUAUUGGGUUUAAAGGGUGCGUAGGCGGCUUAUUAAGUCAGAGGUGAAAACUUGCGGCUCAACCGUAAGCCUGCCUUUGAUACUGACGAGCUUGAAUUAACUUUAAGUAGGCGGAACGUAACAAGUAGCGGUGAAAUGCAUAGAUAUGUUACAGAACACCAAUAGCGAAGGCAGCUUGCUAAGGUUCAAUUGACGCUGAGGCACGAAAGCGUGGGGAUCAAACAGG
rnacentral:rRNA from 1 species